UCCUCCUUAGCUCAGUCGGUAGAGCACUCGGCUGUUAACCGAGUUGUCGCUGGUUCGAGCCCAGCAGGGGGAGCCA
rnacentral:tRNA from 1 species